rnacentral:rRNA from 1 species
UACGGAGGGAGCUAGCGUUGUUCGGAAUUACUGGGCGUAAAGCGCACGUAGGCGGCUUUGCAAGUUAGAGGUGAAAGCCCGGGGCCCAACUCCGGAAUUGCCUUUAAAACUGCAUCGCUAGAAUUGUGGAGAGGUAAGUGGAAUUCCGAGUGUAGAGGUGAAAUUCGUAGAUAUUCGGAAGAACACCAGUGGCGAAGGCGACUUACUGGACACAUAUUGACGCUGAGGUGCGAAAGCGUGGGGAGCAAACAGG